rnacentral:rRNA from 1 species
GAGGAAUCUUCCACAAUGGGCGAAAGCCUGAUGGAGCAACGCCGCGUGAAGGAUGAAGGUCUUCGGAUUGUAAACUUCUUUUAUGAGUGAAGAAUAUGACGGUAACUCAUGAAUAAGCACCGGCUAACUACGUGCCAGCAGCCGCGGUCAUACGUAGGGUGCAAGCAUUAUCCGGAGUGACUGGGCGUAAAGAGUUGCGUAGGUGGUUUAUUAAGUGAAUAGUGAAAGCUGGAGGCUCAACCUUACAGACUAUUAUUCGAACUGGUAAACUCGAGAAUGGUAGAGGUAACUGGAAUUUCUUGUGUAGGAGUGAAAUCCGUAGAUAUAAGAAGGAACACCAAUGGCGUAGGCAGGUUACUGGACCAUUUCUGACACUAAGGCACGAAAGCGUGGGGAGCGAAC